GAAUCUCAUAUGGUGCUGGCUGUGAAAGACAGGGACCUUACAAAGGUGAUAUUAAACUCUGCGGUGAUCCUUUUUCACUGUGUUGAGUACAUUUUGUCUUUCUUUAUGGCACUUGUUGUUUAUUUCACAUAGAAAAGCAUCCUGCUGGAAAGGCUUAAGGACACUCACUUUGAAAGUCACAAAAUUAUUGAGGUAUUCCAUCUUUGAGAAUAUGCUUGUGACCAUGUGAAAGAAUAGUUUGGCUGUUCAGUAACUGUCUGCUAAUGCAUCUGAAGGGCCUGCAGUCAGAAUUGAUGAGGCUACAAGAGCACUCAGAGCAAGCACUCUUCAGGUAAACACCACCGAUAUACCUCUCUGUCACUCUGUUGUUUCAUUAGCAGGAAAAAUCAGUUGGUAUUUGUGAAAAGCAACCAGAUGUAUCAUUAUUUAUACUCUAAAUGUACUCAUUUUUGGCAGGUUAAAUAAAUACCACAUCAGUUCCCAUAUUCCACAGAGGACAGGUGUGACAAACCAUCAGUCUCUGCACCAUGAGAUUCAGGAAGCUCAACCGUCCCAGAAUGUGGCUAUGGAGUUGAUUAGUGGUUCACUGAGCCAGAUCUUACCCAGCGUCCCUCAGAGAGGAGACUUUGAAAGCCUCCAGAAGAUCAAACCUGUAGAGAUUUCCCAUAUACUCCACACACAGCUCUCAGAGACUUCUGAAAGAGCUGGAGCUUCUUGAAACACCGUUGGCAGCGCAAGGACAGCACAAGGCCAAGCAUCAGAGACAGGAAGCCCACAUAGCGGCCGCCAUGACCUGGUGGACUGGUCAGAUUAAAGAGGGCAAGAAGAACCAGGCUGCCCAAGUUCCACAAGAAACUGUGAUGGACAUUCAGAAGCCGAUCCAAAGCCUGGAAGUCAAUCACAUCAGGCUGGAAGGAACUAAGCAUGGCAUGAAGGUGCUUCUCAAAGACCAGGGAACGAGCACCUGCAAUGACGCUCAGAUUCACUUUAGGGACGUGGCUGUAGUCACUGAUUCAUCAGCAGAGCAUUUGGGUGCAGAAGAGCUGCUGAAGUCUCUGAGGAAAGUGGAGGACAUGGUUUCGCAGGCCUUGCGGGCAGCUCAGGUGCUCAUGAGCAGCGAAGAGAGGAUAAAGGAGAGGAUAGAGGCCAUCAGCAUGAUGGUCGAGAAAGCACUGAGCAGAGCUGAAGCUACUGAGAGUCAACUCAGUGCCCUGGAGGCCACCAUCUCUGCUAACACACAGUCGUUCUGUAUGUCUCAAUCCGUAGCCACUGGGCUCCUGGUGGAUUGUAGCUUUUCCACAUCCGAGUCUGUCGCUCAGGAGAGCGUCCUCACUCCACUUUCUUCUGAAAACGGUAUUAUUUACCUCUUAAGUUACUAAAACAUUUCAGAUGAAUCUGAAGCGGUUCAUUUGUAUGAUGGCAACUUUUAGUAACGUUUUAUGCAACAUUCCUUGAAUUCUUAUUU
ensembl:lncRNA